UUUAGUUUCAUGUGUGUCUGGGCUGUCAUUUUCAACUUAAGGGGGCUCAGUUAGAUGGGUUUUUUUUAAGAAACUACAAUAAUUACUUAUAUUUAAACACAAGACUGGUGUAAAAGUUGAAAUAAUGCUAGAAUAUUUCUAUUUUAAUUUGAAACAACAUUCAGGGAGCAUUCUACAUAGGCUGCCAAAGUUUCAUGUGAUUUGGUCAGGCAGUUUACUUGUUAUAAGGGGGUUUUCAGCUGUUGACUUGGCCAAUUCAGCUAACGUUUGUAGUUUUUUGUAUAUAUAUAGUAAGACAAGUUCUCCAACUGUAACUUUUCUUCUAAGUACCCUAUGUUAGUGAUCAAACCAGCAGAAUACUUGACUAAUACCACUUUACAUGGUAUAUUUAGUUUCAUGUGUGUCUGGGCUGUCAUUUUCAACUUAAGGGGGCUCAGUUAGAUGGGGUUUUUUUUGAGAAACUACAGUAAUUACUUAUAUUUAAACACAAGACUGGUGUAAAAGUUGAAAUAAUGGUAGAAUAUUUCUAUUUUAAUUUGAAACAACAUCCAGGGUGCAUUCUACAUAGGCUGCCAAAGUUUCAUGUGAUUUGGUCAGGC